UGGCUCCUCCUUCAGUAUUUCUCACUCUCCUACACCAAAAGUAUCCAGUGACAUUAAUACCAACAGUGGUAUAGUGGUGAGCGUGUCUGCCUUUCAAGCAGUUGUAGGUACGGCGCAAGUUACAGACCAACAACCAAAGACGAGGUGGCCGAGAGGUUAAGGCGAUGGACUGCUAAUCCAUUGUGCUCUGCACGCAUGGGUUCGAAUCCCAUUCUCGUCGCAAGGGAGCCCACUUUUGUCCGACACGUCUCAAUUUCAACAACAUAACUGUCUCAAUUAUAA